ACCUCCACAAGAAGCCCCGGCCAACUACCUGCCAGCAGCCGCGGUAAUACGUAGGGGGCGAGCGUUGUCCGGAUUUAUUGGGCGUAAACAGCUCGUAGGCGGUUCAACAAGUCGGUCGUAAAAGUUCACGGCUCAACCCUGAAAUGUCGAUCGAUACUGUUGUGACUAUGAUACGGUAGAGGUGAGUGUAAUUCCUAGUGUAGCGGUGAAAUGCGUAGAUAUUCGGAGGAACACCAGUUGCGAAGGCAGCUCACUGGGCCGCUAUCGACGCUGAGGAGCGAAAGCUAGGGCAGCAAACAGGAUUAGAUACCCUGGUAGUCCUAGCUGUAAACGAUGGAUACUAGACGUAAGAACUGGAUUGACGGUUUCU
rnacentral:rRNA from 1 species